AGGGUGGUAGCUCAGUGGUAGAGCGGUGGUCUCCAAAACCACGUGCCGGGGUUCGAUUCCCCGUCACCUUG
rnacentral:tRNA from 1 species